AUCUGGCUUAGUUAGGAGGCAUAAAUCAAUCUUGAUCAUCAAUACUUUACUGUAUUGUAUUGAUCUAUUUGACUUGAGGUCUUUUUGAGGAGGAGCUUUGCUUCUGCUAAGUAUCAAGCUUCUCCCAAGCAGCCUCAGACAUAU
rnacentral:snoRNA from 14 species